ensembl:lncRNA
UGUCCAGAUCCCCCCAAAGGACCUUCUUGCCCUCAGACAGAUUGACACUUCCUCUUAACUUGGUGUCAUCUGCAAAUUUUAUGAGGGUGUACUCAAUCCCCACGUCCAAGCCAUCGAUAAAGAUACUAAACAGGAGAGGCCCCAAUAUCGACAGCUGGGGAACACAACUCAUCACCAGUUGCCUGCUCGAUUUAACUCCAUUCACUACCACUCUUUGAGCCUGGUGCAUUUGCCUGUUCUUUACUCAGCAAAAAGUGUACCUGCCCAAGACAUGGUCUGCCAACUUCUCCAGGAGAAUACUGUAGGAGAGAGUGUCAAAGGCUUUGCUGAAGCCUAGGAAGACUGUGCCAACAGCCUUUCCCUCAUCCACCAGGCAGGUCACUCGAUCAUAGAAGGAAAUCAGGUUGGUCAAGUGGGACCAAGUGGGGGUAUAAUAAUAGUUAUAGUAGUUACUAUAUUCUGUUUUAGCAAUUAAGGAGAAGGAAUAAUAUAGCAACAAAAAGGACUGUAAUUUAAAUAAACUAAAAAUGUUGAGUAAAAUCCUGGCCAUAUAUAUGUAAUUAGCAAAACUCCCUUAAUACAGUAUUUGCUUAGCAAGAUAAAAGAGUGUUGAAUCUGUAGUACAUCAUCUUCAAAGUAUGUAUAGACCUUUUCAAUGCUUGUUCACUGUGGAAAAUGCAGGGAUGCAACUGGUGUUUUUUUACCUUGACAAUGAGGUUGCAAGGCCAAUCCUUCUUUUUAAAAAUAUUUUUGAUCAAAUAUAGAAGCCUUAUUUUUCAGUGUGAACUCAAUCUAAUAUUUUCCAAAGGUUCAGUUUAAAUCUUGAGUGAUUUUAAUAAUGCUGAAAGACAGGUCAUACUAGCAAGAGGCAGAGUAUGCACUUUAUUAGGUAAUAUAUGGAAAGAUUGAAAAAUGAAUAAUUAAAAAAGCAAUAGAAAGACCUCUAGUAUCUAUGCAACAGGGGCAAUGUGAAACUCACAGAUAGAAACCAAAUGAUUUUUCAAUAUGUGGUUAAAAAGUAAAACCUCACACCCCUUAAAGCCAUCAGUAGCAUAUCACAAUUCCAAAGUAUGCUGUUGAAAAUACAUGGAUGAUUACCCAUCCUGAACUUUUUAGGCUGGUAUUUGGUUAUUAUAAAUCACAGGAGCUUUUACCAGAUUUUCCAUCUGGGCUCACUUAUUCAGGUUUGUGAGGACAAUCUUAGGAGAUGAUUUCAAGCAACUGGUUUCCAUAUUACUCAGAUAGCAAACAACAACAACAACAACAACAACAGCAAAAACAUUUAUGUAUGACUAUCAACAUUAAUGAACGUAGUACAUUAUGAGAAGUUUUAUGCUUGCUUGUUGCUUGUCUUUGAUUAUUCAUCAGUUUGCAAUGUGUGGUAACUCACAUUUCAUCUGCCAGCCAUUACUGUGAAUUAGAGAGAUUGUGCAGCAUGCAUUAUACCUGUUUACUGCACUUGCUUAUAAUAUGAAAGAGAAUAUUGUGUAAUUAAUUGUCUGAUAUGUGCCUCUACUAUGCACAUCACUAAAUAAAAGGAUAAGCAUAAAACUUGUGGAUGCCCUUUAGCAGCUGUACUGAAUAUUGUUUUUAUUUCAUGAGCCUUAAGGGGAAACCUGUUUGGAAGUGGUUUUUGCCUUUACUUUCCCUGCUGGAAGAAAGAAGAUAGUCACAAAGUACUGAUAGUGACAAAGUAAUGAAUUUAUUUUCAUACAGUCCAGCUAUCAGAGGGAAGACUUAGUAAAGUUCAGUAUUAUCUUUUCUUCAUGCCAAUUAACCAAUCUUUACAAGUAUUGAAAAAUAGUUGUCCAGAUUUUAUCCUGUCUCUAACCUGCUUACAUAGUAACAAAGAUUUAUGCUCAUUACUUGACCUAAUAUACUGCCUCUUGCAGUUGCAUGUUUUAUACACUUCUUUAACCUGCGUUGUCGAUACUGUUGUAAAUUUGGGCAGAUCUGAGGAAUCUUUAUUAUAGCCCUGGUAUCUAGCUUCUGUUAAGCUACUGGAAAGUAUCUUCUGCAUUUCUCUUAGGCCCCUAUAUAGUUUCUGACAAUAAGCAUUAUGACUUCAAACCAGGACAGCAACAGCACUGAAAUUACUGCUUGUCGUGAAACAGAAGAAUAGAGUCAUGGAAUUUAAAAUUUAGCACAUUUUACAUGCUUUGUUUGAUUAAGGCUUAGAAGAAUAAAUUUCUAUUCCACUGACUGUGCCAGCUGCUCCAGGAAUGCAGGCAUCAUAUACAUUUUAUGACAUCUUGUUCUACAUCAAGAUGCUCCUAAAUUGGAAGUAAUUAUCUUGAUUAUAAAUAUUCCUUUGCGCACAUGUAUAUAUAAAACAUCAAGUGCUAUGGUUGCUCCAAGUUCAUUCACACUUACGUGAAAGUUCCCAAUGUAUUAUUGUGAAGUAUGAAGUCACAGAACCUCAGACCAGAAGAACUGGCAUACUCAAGGAAUAUAGCUUGGUCCUGUGCAGUGGUACACAUAUUGGAGACUCUUCUGUGAAGAAGUUUCACGGUACUAUGAAGACAAAAUAUCUGGAUUGGGAUAAGCCUGCCUUUCACUGUGCAAGGAAGUCCUUGUGGACUUAGAAUAAAGCUUUUGUUUUGUCACAGUUAUUAUUGUUAUUAUGAACUUCACUGUGUAACACCUGCUGAAUACCCGGGGAGAGCAGAGGAAGAGACAGAAGAAAAUAUAGCAAGAGAUACAUUCUAUAAUGUUGCCAGAUAAGUCAAGAGAAUUAUCUGUUCUUCACUAC